GACAGAGGGCACGGGCGUAUUCGUUUUGAUUGGGUGUAAAGGGUACGUAGACAGCUUUUGAUAAUUUCCGGCCUAAAAUGCAGAGUGUUCCUCUGCGGCGGCCAGUUAGAGAAUAAGCUUGUGUUGAGUGCGGGUUGGGGAAAUUUCUUGUGUAGGGGUCGAUUCCAGGCAUAUAAGAAGGAACGCCAGUAGGCGAAGGCGCCUUUCUAGCAUCAACAGACGUUAAGGUACGGAAGCCUAGGGAGCAAACAGA
rnacentral:rRNA from 1 species